UACGGAGGGUGCAAGCGUUAUCCGGAUUUACUGGGUUUAAAGGGUGUGUAGGCGGGUCUUUAAGUCAGUGGUGAAAUCUCCGAGCUCAACUUGGAAACUGCCAUUGAUACUAUUGAUCUUGAAUUCUGUUGAGGUAGGCGGAAUUGAUGGUGUAGCGGUGAAAUGCAUAGAUACCAUCAAGAACACCGAUUGCGAAGGCAGCUUACUAAGCUGUAACUGACGCUGAGGCACGAAAGCGUGGGGAGCAAACAGG
rnacentral:rRNA from 1 species